ensembl:lncRNA
UGCGUCCGUUAUUGGGACUCGGAGUCCUCAUUCUCCGGCUGCAUUUGAAGGAGUCGCCUGAAUGCGUCGCGGCCGCGGUGACGCAAUCGGUCUGGGAAGGAUGAGCAGCCUCCGGAGGACACAGCCGCUGGAUUGAGACACGGCCGCGAACUCCCGGUUCGCAGCUGCCCAGCCGACAUGGGCUGAUGCUCGGGUUGUGUAUUCAUCAGCAUCCGGCCAAAGCAAAACAACUCGCGUCCGGGGGACCCGCACAGCUCCCCCUCCGCUCCCGCGUCCCGCUUCCGGCCCGGCGGGUUUGCGUGUGAGUAUGCGGCUUGCUCGCUGAACGAACCCGCGGAGCCGCCGCGGCUCAGCCAGCUGUUUUGGUGAGCGAGGCUCGCCGCCGGUGGCUAGCAGGCUAACGCCAACUCAAGCUAGCCGCCGGUAGCCGCCGGUCGCCGCCGGUCGCUCGGCCCCGUUCAGUUCCGCCUCCUUCGGACGCAGCGUUGUGUCCGGCGUCUGGCGCCCCCCGUGUUGGCGAAACGUCGUUUCUCGUAGUUCGCUGCGGUGACGUGGACGACCCGGGACCGCUAGCUCGGGUGAACGGGUCUACGCGGCUUUGACGUGACGUUAAAAGGCCGAAGCCGUGGUGAUUACGUCACCCUGGUGGACACGAGGACGGGUCACUGCCCGGAAACCAUGUUCACGAGCAGCACGCGGGGGUGAAGGGCUGUGCAGCGACGCCCUCCAGGCUGCGCUACGGUGCCGAGCCCCCCUGCAGGGCCCCUGCUGGGGCCCUGCAGGGGCCUCCAGGUGGACUGACCUUCCCUCUUAAAGAAACGAUGGGCCGUCGCUUCUCUUUACUUAAUUGACAGUUUCUUGCCACAGUUUGGAUUAGAACGGUGGUGGAAUAGACGUCUUCUCCUACAGGACUGAGCACAACUGAUGGCCUCAAACAUAAAUCCCACAAAUGAACUCUGGACAAGGCGCACCUGUUGAUGGAAACCAUUGCAGGUCACCACCUCGUGAAGCCGGUUCAAAGAAUGAGUGUGAAGAAAUCACAAAAAGCUGGAGGAGAGAAGCACCAGUCGUCUUCUUACUGCUCUAAUAACCACGGUGAGAUGGACGUGUCUCCGUGAGGAGUCUGACCGUGUGAACGCAUGAACGGAUCCGGAGCACCGGCCCUUCGUCGCCCCACAGGGCAACAACUCUGUGCCGGGUUCAGGGUGGACGCCGGUCUGUCCUCCCUCCUCAUUCCUUCCCAUUGGCUCGCUUAUCACCAGUCAUGCAGGGACACGCGUGUGCGUGAGGACGUGUGUGCGUUCAGAGGAGCCGGGUCGUCUGUAGUUGAUUCUGCCCCGGUGCUGCCCGGCCCGGCUCCCCUCCCACCCGCUGCUGCUGCUGCUGCUGCUUUGGACUCUCCCUUUUUCAAUGGACUUCACAGCCUCUGACCAGCUUCCUGGAGCCAUGGGUGGAGUAAACACCACCCUUUGUCCGGGGCCAACCCUGUUUAAACCACAUCACGCGGUGGAGGUCUGCAAACGAUAAAGCUUGAUUGUUUGAUGCAUGUGUUGCUGCUUUCCCUCCACAUGUGUCCCCCUCUAACGGUCUUCAUUUGCUACAAGGGGAGCGAGAUAACGGGGGAGGAAGUGGAGGAGGGACGUCAUUUACCAAAAUGACUCCAAUUAAGAACCAAACCCAAUACAAAGAUCCGAGAGACUGUUUGCCGUUGCUUUAUGUGCGCGUUGCUUUAUUGGUAUUCUAACGUUCUCUUCCUAGUAUCCGCGCUGCACUUCGGCUGAUGAGUAACAGAAAGUUGUAGCUUUAAAGACGAAUGGAAUCAAAGGAAAUUCAAGAAUCAGCAUCAGCAGAAAGCUUCAGUGUAAAAAGGAGUUUUAGCAUCAAAUAAACGACAACGAAUCCACAAAACAAGAAGCACAGUACGUCUUUACUCCAGAGAAAAGCAAAAAUACCCGUGUUGAUUGUCAAACUAAUGUAAUCCGCUUCCCCCCACAAGGACUGAUAAACCGGCUUGAACCCGUUCAAACAAUCAUCCUCAGCUGGAUUCAUUCACGCAGAGGCCAAUGUACACAAGACGCACACAUUUACAUCUAAAAAAGCCUUUUAUGGAGGAUUCUGCUCCUAACAAGUGUGUCAGUCAGCAGUGAUCCUCUGCCAGCAGCUGUGUUGACUGUCCAACACACACACACACACACACACACACACACACACACACACACACACACACACCCCAGACGCGGCGCUCUGACCUGUCGGGGGGCGGAGCUGUGAAUGGCGCCCUGCAGCCUGAGGGAGCAGCAGGCUCCGUCAGCCUAAUGAGGGAGAUGUUUACCUGCUGAGGCCUCCUCUGAAACCUUCGUGUUGGCAGACGAGAGCGAGUCUCGUCGGCUGCAGCGGCUCGGGACGACGUCUUCAUCAAAGUUGUUAUGAUUUGAUGAUUUUGAAUAAUCGGCUGCGUUCCUUGUUGUGAUGUGACGAGGCGGCGCUCCGCCGCGUAGCGAGAGGCAGGUGUAGGAAUGACAUCAGAGCAGAUGCUCAGAGGCCACGUACCACUCUACUUUCAAUGCGUCCACAGCGUGAGUUAUGAUCCAUCUGGCUUGUUGCCAUGAAACACACAUUGAUACCAAAUGACAAUACAUUUAAUAAAUAACCAGCGGCGUCAUUCUGUCUAUUUGAGAGGGGCCGAAGCCCCCUGCCCUCCCAAAUCAUUCAAAAAUCAAAUCAAAUAUAUAUAUAUAUAUAUAUAUAAAUAUAAUUAUUAAUAAUUAAGUGUUUUUCAACCAUAAGGAUACAAACCUAGAAAAACAAGGAAGUGCAAUUUUAUUAAAUAUUAAUAAUAGAAUAUAUCCUACUGUGUUUAUUUUAUUUAUUUAUUUUUCCUGAGUAAUUGAAUGCCCUUUUGGUUUAAGCACCUGCCCCCCAAAUGUCUGUGCCCGUGCCUGAUUAUUCAUUAAAUAUACAAGUUUUUUCAUUGUAUUUAAUUCAUUUUAUUUUGUAAAGCCCAAAUUACAAAUCUGCCUCAGAGGGUUUUACAGUCUGUACACAUGUGACGUCCUCUGUCCUGAAACCCUCACAUGAGGAAACAAAU